rnacentral:lncRNA from 10 species
GCUGGUGCUCGUUCGCGCCUCCCAGCGACCGGCCAGUUGCCAGCUGCUGGAGAGAAUGAGCUUGGAGCCGCAGGGCUUAAUCCCGCGCGGCUCAGAGAUGGGUUUCUGGACUCGCGAAGCAGCUGCAACAAGGCAUCACUCACUGUAUAAGUAUUUCCAUUUCUGAGAGCAAAAGGAAGAACUUAAGCGGGCGGCACUUGGAGUGUAAAUUGCUUUGUAGUAUUUAAAGGCAGAAUGGAUCCUGGGCAGCCGAGCUGCAACAAACCGGCAGGACUUCCUGUGAAAUCAUGACCACCAUGUGCUCUUUCAGCCUCUAUCAGUUCCUACCUCUAAGCACCUGAGAGCCAAAGCAAACCACAGGAAACCACAGACUCAAACUAAACGUCAGCUUUUCCCGGCUCUCAAGCCUGCUGGUCCCUGAACUAAAACUCACAUUAUCAACUCUACUGGUUCUUAGGCCUUUGGAGUCAGACUGGAACUACAGCAUUGACUCUUCCGGAACUCCAGCUUACUGACUACAGAUCUUGGAACUUUUCAGCUUCCACAACCAUAAUGAAAGCCAAGCAUAUUCCAUCAUUUCCUAAAACCAAGAUAGAGCACAUAUGGGAACUUGUGAAAUAAGCUUCUUUGGACCUUUUAAGUUGCAUUAUCCCAUAAAAUGUGGUGGAUUCAAUGUUGUAUGGCCUGUAAAACUAAGUAAUGAAGGCUGAUAUGUACCCACCUGGCUCUGUCUUGGGAUCACACAACUUGGGAGCCAAAACAGGUAUAAUUGUGAUCUCUUCCCAGGAAAAAG